UACGGAAGGGGCAAGCGUUGUUCGGAAUGAUUGGGCGUAAAGCGUCUGUAGGUGGCUUUUUAAGUCUGCCGUCAAAUCCCAGGGCUCAACCCUGGGCGUGCAGUGGAUACGGGCAGGCUGGAGGCGGGCAGGGGAGAACGGAAUUCCCGGUGUAGCGGUGAAAUGCGCAGAUAUCGGGAGGAACACCGGUGGCGAAGGCGGUUCUCUGGGCCUGUUCUGACGCUGAGGAGCGAAAGCGUGGGGAGCGAACAGG
rnacentral:rRNA from 1 species